UGAAGUCUGUUCCUCUGUCCCCUACCCCAUUUAAACUGAGUCUGAGGAAUGUGGUAAAGACACAAUAAGAGUUAUGCAGGACAGAAUUGGCUCCAUGUGAAGAAACGUGCUUGUCACAGAAUUGUGCCAGACCACAUAUCAUCAUCUGAAUCUAAAACUAAUAGCCCACAAACAUGAGGGAACUACAAAUAUAAAAACUCUGACAUCAGAUUUUCAGCUCUUCCAGAGGAAGGGAAGGAGCAGAGAGAAAGAGAGGAAAAGGAAACAUGAGGAAUAUAGAAGAAAACAAGGU